rnacentral:rRNA from 1 species
UACAGAGGUCUCAAGCGUUGUUCGGAUUCAUUGGGCGUAAAGGGUGCGUAGGCGGCGCGGUGAGUCGGGGGUGAAAUCUCGGAGCUUAACUCCGAAACUGCAUUCGAUACUGCCGUGCUUGAGGACUGGAGAGGAGACUGGAAUUUACGGUGUAGCGGUGAAAUGCGUAGAUAUCGUAAGGAAGACCAGUGGCGAAGGCGGGUCUCUGGACAGUUCCUGACGCUGAGGCACGAAGGCCAGGGGAGCAAACGGG